GAUGAACGCUGGCGGCGUGCUUAACACAUGCAAGUCGAACGGUGAAGGAGGAGCUUGCUCUUCUGGAUCAGUGGCGAACGGGUGAGUAACACGUGAGCAAUCUGCCCUUGACUCUGGGAUAACAGUUGGAAACAGCUGCUAAUACCGGAUACGAGACGUGACCGCAUGGUCAACGUCUGGAAAGAACUUCGGUCAAGGAUGAGCUCACGGCCUAUCAGCUAGUUGGUGGGGUAAUGGCUCACCAAGGCGACGACGGGUAGCCGGCCUGAGAGGGUGACCGGCCACACUGGGACUGAGACACGGCCCAGACUCCUACGGGAGGCAGCAGUGGGGAAUAUUGCACAAUGGGCGAAAGCCUGAUGCAGCAACGCCGCGUGAGGGACGACGGCCUUCGGGUUGUAAACCUCUUUUAGCAAGGAAGAAGCGAAAGUGACGGUACUUGCAGAAAAGACGACCGGCUAACUACGUGCCAGCAGCCGCGGUAAACU
rnacentral:rRNA from 1 species